rnacentral:rRNA from 1 species
AUUGAACGCUGGCGGCAGGCCUAACACAUGCAAGUCGAACGAGUGGCGGACGGGUGAGUAAUGUCUGGGAAACUGCCUGAUGGAGGGGGAUAACUACUGGAAACGGUAGCUAAUACCGCAUACCAUCGGAUGUGCCCAUAUGGGAUUAGCUAGUAGGUGGGGUAACGGCUCACCUAGGCGACGAUCCCUAGCUGGUCUGAGAGGAUGACCAGCCACACGGGGAUGGAGAAACGGCCCAGACGCCUACGGGAGGCAGCAGGGGGGAAUAUUGGACAAUGGGCGAAAGCCGGAUGCAGCCAUGCCGCGUGUAUGAAGAAGGCCUUCGGGUUGUAAAGUACUUUCAGCGGGGAGGCGGUACCCGAAGAAGAAGAACCGGCUAACUCCGUGCCAGCAGCCGCGGUAAGAC